rnacentral:lncRNA from 1 species
CGAGUUCCCAAGUUGGGGAGUACUGGUCCCAGGUCUUUCCUUUCCUGUAUGACAAGAAGUCCCUCUAGGUUGUCUGGUUAACCGGGCUAACUAUUUAAAGAUGAAGUAAUUACCUUUGGUUUCUUCUAAUGGCAGGCCUGCGCCUCCUCUAUUCUUUCUUUCUAGGGUACCUCUUCAUCUAGUAUCAGACGAUUCUAUUGAUUUCUUCUUGGUGCAAAACAAAAGGGUCUAUCUUUAGGACUCUUUCUCAUGAACUAGGGUCUAUCGCUCUUUCCUUUCCUGGAAGUUGAUCCCCGUUGCCCAAAACAACCAAAGGUUCGUUCUAAGAGUCAAGUAAAUGGUGGGACGUCCUUUCGGGAACUCCGAUUAACUUAUCUUAUUGAGCCUCUCUCCUAGGGUUGGUCAUUUGACACUAAAUCAUUCUUAAACCUGAGUUAAGUAGCUCUCUUCUUCUUGGCUGCUAGACAAGGAACUGGGUAGAGAGAUAAUAGAACCUCCCAUAUGAGGAUUUAAAAAUAAAUAACCCAACUCGAGAGUUACGCUUCAAUACUACUCACUUACAAAAGGAUACAUGAAGGAAGAAAUAGACUUUCAUAAGUAAGUUACUACCACGUUCCUUCUUAUGCUAGAAAAAACUCGUUUUAGGGUGGGCGAUAGCGGAUGGUUGGUAUCUCACCGCACAGGUGUCAGGGAUUGCGUAGUUCAUUAGUGUUUUCCCGAGGAUGUCUAUGCAUACUCUCCCGUCUUUACUUGGCGUCAAUCGUUCCUAUACCUUACCUUAUUGUGUUGUGCGCUCUUCGCCUUCUAGCUAGUAAGCCAAAGGAAGGGCGGGAUAGAGCUCAAAGACAGGCUGAGGGCAGAGAAGGACAGACAAGACAAGGAAGCAAACAAAGGUGAAAAGAGAGAUCAUAAUGGAGGCCGUUAAGGUUGAACGAACUGUAGGCCCAACUCUGUAUACUUAGCCGGAAGCAGGGCAUUCCACCAAUUCCACUUAGGGAGAAUAGUUUUCCCUAUAGUUUAAGAGCUUCUUUUCGUUACUAGUUGACAAGUUUAGUUGUCACUCGGAGCCACUCUGUCAACAAAACAAGCCGUUAGUCAAGAGGUUAGUUACCGUGUUCGGUAUCAGCAGAGAAAGUAGAGAAGGAUAGUGACACAAUAACUCUAACAUAAGCAAGCUGUCAAGAGGGAGCAAUGCAGCCAGUAUACAUAAUCGGCUUUUUAACCAUUCG